rnacentral:rRNA from 1 species
UACGUAGGGGGCAAGCGUUGUCCGGAUUUACUGGGCGUAAAGGGCGUGCAGGCGGUUUGUUAAGUUCUGGGUGAAAGCUCCCGGCUCAACUGGGAGAGGUCCUUGGAUACUGGCAGACUUGAGGAGGGUAGAGGAGAGUGGAAUUCCCGGUGUAGUGGUGAUAUGCGUAGAGAUGGGGGAGAACACUCGUGGCGAAGGCGGCCAGCUAGACCAGUUCUGACACUGAGGCGCGACAGCGUGGGGAGCAAACAGG